AUUGAACGCUAGCGGCAGGCCUAACACAUGCAAGUCGAGCGGGGUUUUCGGACCUAGCGGCGGACGGGUGAGUAAUGCGUAGGAAGCUACCCGAUAGAGGGGGAUACCAGUUGGAAACGACUGUUAAUACCGCAUAAUGUCUACGGACCAAAGUGUGGGACCUUCGGGCCACAUGCUAUCGGAUGCGCCUACGUGGGAUUAGCUAGUUGGUGGGGUAAUGGCUCACCAAGGCGACGAUCCCUAGCUGGUUUGAGAGGAUGAUCAGCCACACUGGAACUGAGACACGGUCCAGACUCCUACGGGAGGCAGCAGUGGGGAAUAUUGGACAAUGGGCGCAAGCCUGAUCCAGCCAUGCCGCGUGUGUGAAGAAGGCCUUCGGGUUGUAAAGCACUUUCAGUAGGGAGGAAGGGUGUUGUGUUAAUAGCACAGCAUUUUGACGUUACCUACAGAAGAAGCACCGGCUAACUCUGUGCCAGCAGCCGCGGUAAGAC
rnacentral:rRNA from 1 species